GAGUUUGAUCCUGGUUCAGAUUGAACGCUGGCGGCAUGCCUAACACAUGCAAGUCGAACGGCAGCACAGUGUGUAGCAAUACACAUGGGUGGCGAGUGGCGGACGGGUGAGUAAUGCAUAGGAAUCUGCCCAGUAGCGGGGGACAACCCGGAGAAAUCCGGGCUAAUACCGCAUACGCCCUAAGGGGGAAAGCGGGGGACCGAAAGGCCUCGCACUAUUGGAUGAGCCCAUGUCGGAUUAGCUAGUUGGUAGGGUAACGGCCUACCAAGGCGACAAUCCGUAGCUGGUCUGAGAGGACGAUCAGCCACACCGGAACUGAGACACGGUCCGGACUCCUACGGGAGGCAGCAGUGGGGAAUAUUGGACAAUGGGGGCAACCCUGAUCCAGCAAUGCCGCGUGUGUGAAGAAGGCCUGCGGGUUGUAAAGCACUUUCAGUGGGGACAAAAAGCGCCGUGUUAAUACCGCGGCUUUUGAUUUAACCCAUAGAAGAAGCACCGGCUAACUCUGUGCCAGCAGCCGCGGUAAUACAGAGGGUGCGAGCGUUAAUCGGAUACUGGGCGUAAAGCGCACGUAG
rnacentral:rRNA from 1 species